UUACGGUCAUAUCGCGUUGCAACACCGGGUCUUGACUGAUCACAGAAGUUAAGCAACAUCGUGCUUGGUCAGAACCUAGAUGGGUAACCGCUUAGGAAUAUCAAAUACUGUA